rnacentral:rRNA from 1 species
CAGCCGCCGCGGUAAUACAGAGGGUGCGAGCGUUAAUCGGAUUUACUGGGCGUAAAGCGUGCGUAGGCGGCUUCUUAAGUCGGAUGUGAAAUCCCUGAGCUUAACUUAGGAAUUGCAUUUGAUACUGGGAAGCUAGAGUAUGGGAGAGGAUGGUAGAAUUCCAGGUGUAGCGGUGAAAUGCGUAGAGAUCUGGAGGAAUACCGAUGGCGAAGGCAGCCAUCUGGCCUAAUACUGACGCUGAGGUACGAAAGCAUGGGGAGCAAACAGGAUUAGAUACCCCUGUAGUCCCUGUCUCUUAUAC